rnacentral:rRNA from 1 species
AUUGAACGCUGGCGGCAGGCCUAACACAUGCAAGUCGAGCGAGCGGCGGACGGGGGAGUAAUGUAUGGGGACUGCCCGAUAGAGGGGGAUAACUACUGGAAACGGUGGCUAAUACCGCAUACUAUCGGAUCACCCAUAUGGGAUUGGCUAGUAGGUGGGGUAAAGGCUCACCUAGGCGACGAUCUCUAGCUGGUCUGAGAGGAUGGUCAGCUUACCUGGGACUUGGGCACGGGCCAGACUCCUUGGGAGGCGGCCGUGGGGAAUAUUGCAAAAUGGGCAAAAGUCUGGCGGAGCAACGCCGCGUGAGUGAUGACGGCCUUCGGGUUGUAAAACUCGUUGAUCGGGGCGACGGUACCAGAAUAGAAAGCCACGGCUAACUCCGUGCCAGCAGCCGCGGUAAUAC